CGUUGUCGCCGGGGAGCCUCCUCACUGUAUUGCUUGUGUCCAGGCUGAUCCAGGGGGGGUCCUGGUAGAGAAAUCUCUCCCAGAACCGAUCGUAAGGGUCGGAUGGAUAUCUUCAUUGCACACAAAACAAGGGAAACAGGUGCAGCAAGGACAAAAAAGGCUGAGCAUCAAGAAGGGAAGAGCUAGGAGGAAUUAGUUUGUAUAGUUGUAUUACCUGGCUGGCCAUGGACUCGAAUCAUGCUGACCAGGACGACCAGCAGCGCCAUGGUCCAUUUCAGUUUCGCACUUGACGAGCAAGUGGAGCUUUUCGCCAUGGCACUCUUCGGAAGCAAGACGGAGCAUCCUAUUUGCGACGUACAAAUGACUUGUGAAGCUAUAUAGCAGAGAAAAACAACCACCAUGGUUCAGUAAUUCGAUAUCUUUUGAUAAAGUAGGUAAACCUUUUCUCGUGAAAGAAAUGCAACUUGCAGUCAUCCAGAGGAAAAGAAAAUGCCACUUGGCCGUGGAGUUUAGUGCGCACGUCAACUAUCGCGUUAAUUUGAGAAAUUAUAUCUCUGGGAGAAACCUACUGCAUGGCCAUCAGCGUGAUAGCGAAGUCCGAACCCGAGAACUCGUGUUUCUAUGGUGGAACUGUGCUGCUCGGCCGUAUACAGUGUGACCCGACGAAGGUACGCUGGUCUUUCUCUGAAGUCUGAACUAGUCUGCUGUGCCCAAAAUUAGAGAACUGUUACAGGCUAUAGGUACGAGAGAUAAACAAUGACAGAGUUGCAAGACUAAAUCGAUCAGCGACGUUACGCAUGACACACCCAACUAGGCUGGUGCAAUGCAAGAAGCCAAGAAUGCAAGAUAUUGAUGGGUUUAUCUUUUCCAUGCCAUUCGUCAGCCAGCCCGUGCCCGUGGUUGACCGGGAUAAUGGAGAUGGCUGGCUAUCGGUCGCACGUCGAAAUCGUCUGACAGACAAUUGGCCGGCAGGCCGGCCGCCGCCGUAGCUUCCGUAAGUACGCACGGGAAAGAGUAUGCAUCCAUCUCAUUCAUUCUCGCCAGCAUGGGACGGGAGCAGACUGUGCAAUGCAUGCCAGGUUUGAAACUUUGAAUGACUCGGGGGUUUGAUUCCAAGGACUUCUUCGAGGAUCACGUAAGUCGCGCGAGCUGAGGGUAGGUGGCGCGCGGAACCACCAGCCGGGUACGUAGAAGUGCAGUACAGUAGGAUUUUCAGUAUUGCCGGUCGUGUCAUGCACGCACCUGAUCUUCCAGGGCCCUGAACCGGCCGCUGGACUUGAGCUCAGCUCGGGAUGCUUUCUCUCUUUACCAGAAACGAGAGCUUUCAUUUUAUUUUACUCCCUCCCAUCUUAAA